rnacentral:rRNA from 1 species
GACGUAGGGCGCGAGCGUUGUCCGGAUUUAUUGGGCGUAAAGAGCUCGUAGGCGGCUUGUCGCGUCGUCCGUGAAAACCUGCGGCUCAACUGCAGGCUGGCGGUCGAUACGGGCAGGCUGGAGUUCGGUAGGGGAGACUGGAAUUCCUGGUGUAGCGGUGAAAUGCGCAGAUAUCAGGAGGAACACCGGUGGCGAAGGCGACAUCCUGGACCGGUAUUGACGCUGAGGCGCGAAAGCCAGGGGAGCAAACGGG